rnacentral:rRNA from 1 species
AGUGAACGCUGGCGGUAGGCCUAACACAUGCAAGUCGAACGGCAGCACAGUAAGAGCUUGCUCUUACGGGUGGCGAGUGGCGGACGGGUGAGGAAUACAUCGGAAUCUACUUUUUCGUGGGGGAUAACGUAGGGAAACUUACGCUAAUACCGCAUACGACCUACGGGUGAAAGCAGGGGAUCUUCGGACCUUGCGCGAUUGAAUGAGCCGAUGUCGGAUUAGCUAGUUGGCGGGGUAAAGGCCCACCAAGGCGACGAUCCGUAGCUGGUCUGAGAGGAUGAGCAGCAACACUGGAACUGAGACACGGUCCCGACUCCUACGGGAGGCAGCAGUGGGGAAUAUUGGACAAUGGGCGCAAGCCUGAUCCAGCCAUACCGCGUGGGUGAAGAAGGCCUUCGGGUUGUAAAGCCCUUUUGUUGGGAAAGAAAAGCAGCAGGUUAAUACCCCGCUGUUCUGACGGUACCCAAAGAAUAAGCACCGGCUAACUUCGUG